UUAAAAUGAAUUAAAUUGUAAUUUAACUAACACUCCAGAUGUUUGAUCUUAGGCAUGAGAUAUAUAUAUUAAGAUCCCAUAUUAGUUUGGACUAGAGGUAAUGUGCCCCUUAUAUGACCUAUAAAAAAAAUUUAAAAAUAUAUAUAUAAUUAAUACUUUUUAACAUUCUCUAAACAGUAAAUAAUUAUGAACAAAAUAAUUUAUAAAAAAUGACUUUAUCUUCCUUAAAUUUGAUGGACCACGGAAGUUCCCACAUACCCAGGGAAAGAAAAUCAUCAUAAAUUAUUUUCUCCGGAAAAUUAUACUCUCUCUCCUGAGUUUCUUGGUCCCAGAAUGGAAUUCUCGAGCUUAUAUUUUUUCUCCAUUCUUUUAGCACUCUGCUUCCACUUCCAGAUCAGGAUGGCAUGCAAUUCAAAUGACAGGAUAGCUCUCAACGAUCUCUACUCUUGUUUAACAUCAAAACCAGAUAGCUGGAAUAGCUCUUCUGCUGAUUGCUGUACUUGGGAUGGUGUCACUUGCAAUAAUUCCAGUGUUUCAAGUAAAAGAGUCAUUGGGCUAGAACUUGGGAACAAGAGACUCACAGGAACAAUCUGCGAGUCCUUGGCAGUUCUGGAUCAACUCAGAAUCUUGAACCUCUCCCAUAAUUUACUCCAUGGUACCCUUCCAACUAAAUUGUUCAGUCUGCAGAAUCUUGAAAUUCUUGACCUGAGCAACAAUUAUUUUGUCGGGUCAAUUCCACUACAUGAUGAUAUGCGCUCAAUCAGGUUUAUCGACUUGUCAAAGAAUUACUUGAAUGGUACUGUCAAUGCAACACUUUGUGAAACCUCACCCCAUAUUCAAGUUCUCAACCUGGCAAGUAACAAAUUCACUGGUGAAGUUUCGACCACUUUUGGAAGAUGUACUUCUCUGCAGAAUCUCUCUCUCAAUGUCAAUAGUCUCUCAGGAAGUUUUCCUGGGGGCCUCUUGCAACUGAAAGACCUUCGCGCGUUGCACCUUGAAGGCAAUCAAUUUUCUGGGCCACUGGAUGCUAGAUUAGGUAACCUUUCUAAUCUUGUGGAGUUGGAUAUUUCCUCCAAUAGGUUUUCUGGAAAUCUUCCUGAUAUUUUUGGGAAUCUUGGAAAGCUUGAGAAAUUCUCUGCCUUUACAAAUAAAUUCAAUGGCCACAUGCCCGAGUCAUUGGUAAAUUCCCCAUCCCUUAAAAUUCUUGAUUUGCACAACAACACCCUUGAUGGUCCCAUCAAUAUCAAUUGUUCUGCAAUGAUUCAUCUAAUUUCCCUGAAUCUUGGUUCUAAUAAUUUCCACGGUCCAAUCCCUGAAACCUUCUCGUCUUGCCACAGCUUGAGUAUUUUGAAUCUUGGUAAAAACAAACUCGGGGGAGAGGUUCCUUACAACUUCAAGAAUCUCCAGGCCCUGACGUUCCUUUCACUCUCAAACACCAGCAUAUCAAAUAUCUCAAGAGCUCUUGAGAUACUACAACAUUGCGAAAACUUAACUACGCUAAUCCUUGGUAUCAAUUUUCAAGAUGAAGAAAUGCCUGGAGGUGUCAAUUUGCAGUUCAGAAAUGUCAAGGCCCUUGUCAUUCCGUUUUGUCAGCUGAGAGGUUCAAUUCCACUAUGGUUGACAAAUUGCAAAUCGCUGCAGUUGUUGGAUCUGUCUUGGAAUCUCUUGGGUGGAUCUAUCCCACUCUGGCUAGGCAAUUUCAAGAGUCUCUUUUACUUGGAUUUAUCAAACAAUUCUUUUACUGGCAACAUACCAAAAAGCUUGGCAGAACUACAAACCCUGGUCACCAAUACGGUCAUCCCACCCGAAGAAAUCGCCCCCGGUAUCCCUCUCUUUAAGUACCGAGAACAGGGCACUGGUUUGCAGUAUACAAAAAUUUGGAGCCUUCCACCAACUAUGGACCUAAGUUUCAACAAGCUGACAGGACCAAUCUUGCCAAGUUUUGGGAGACUGAAAGGACUUCACGUUUUAGGACUAAACAACAAUGGUUUGUCAGGGCCAAUUCCGGCUGAUCUAUCAGGAAUGUCGAACUUGGAAGCUUUGGAUUUGUCCCAUAACAAACUAUCUGGAGAAAUUCCUACUUCAUUGGUAAAGCUCAACUUUUUAUCCAAGUUCAAUGUGGCAUACAAUCAACUUUCUGGAGAAAUCCCAGCAGGUGGCCAAUUCAUGACCUUUCCUUAUUCAAGCUUCCAGGGUAACAAAAAUCUAUGUGGCGGAGAUUAUGUUUCCUGUAGACCAGUACAAGCUCCUGUUCAGUCUCCUAGCAAAGAAGAAAUGAAAAUUGUUGGUUUGCCAUUUGAAAUAGGAAUUGCUACCGGCUUUGUCCUCUCUGUCGCAAUCUCCUUCAUGUCAGGCUGGGUGUUUUCUGUGGCAGAAAGAACUACUAGUACAAGUAGAUUUUUAUGCUGGAGGUAAGAAAAGGUUCAAGUUAGCAUAGGUAAAUCUUUAAAGAUUUGUCAAAAUCUUUAAAGAAUAAGAUAGAUGAUCCAAAUGACUAGAGCCCGUGAAAUUAUAUUGUGAAAAUGAAUCUAUUGUAAGAAGUUCUUAUAUCUGGUCUUAAUUAACAUUAUAUAGAAGUGCCUUCUCAAAAAAAAAAAGGUGAGUGAACCUGGUAGGAAGUAGAAUUAUGUAAAUAUUCUUUUUUAAUUUAAAAAUUAAAUUCAAGACUUUGUUUAAAUUAAAAUUAGUGAAUGUAUUAUUCAAAUAUUCAUGCAAGCAAUUACUUAAUACAGAAGAAGAAAAGAAUAAUGAAUGGCGCGGCGGAUAUGAUUUUGAAGGAUCAUUUGGGGGUAGAUGUUUCACUUGCUUCUUAAAUAUCAUAUGUGAAUUUCAUUAAAUAUCAUAUUGGAACUUUUAUGUUCACUAGAGAAAUAAAUUUAAAUUUUCAAUCAUUUUAGACGCACAAACAUCCAAAUAUACCGAAAAUUUGAGGGCUGGAUAAGCAACACUUCAAACUUGCAGAUUGAUUUGUAUAUGAACAGAAAUUUGGACAAUUUUUACGUAUUGUGCAUAAGAUUCAGAAUCACCAGAUAAAUUCAAUUGACACCAAGAAAUUGAACCAGGCAGACGAAGUUGAACAUCAAACUCAAAGCAGCUGGUCUUUUAAAAUCCAUAAAUUACUUCCAAACCUGUCCAGAUGUAAACUGGAUGCCCCUCUUACAAAUUCCUGAAUCCUGUAGUGUAGUAGUAGGUGAAAUAUGCACAAGUGAUUGAUUUUUUUUCUUUUUUAAAUCCAGUGGUUCAUAACUUGAACUUGAGUUUCUUUUAGCUGUGUCAGUUUCCUUAAAAUCAAAUCAUACAUGUUCCUUGGCCGCAGAGAAAGAAGCAAAAAAGCUGCAAACUGUUGUCUUUGCUUAUCUUGUUAAAUUUAAAACAGAGAAGGUAUUGCAGCAGCCUGAGAGUCAAACUUGCGCACUAUAUUAAACACAGCGAAGUAUAACUGUUUAUUCAAUAUGAUUUUUCAAUUCAAAAAGCCAUUCCUGCGUUAGUGUUACUACAAGCUAACACAGUUAAGAAUAAUAAAAGGUAAAAUAAAAAAUAAAAAUUCCUCUCUCAACUAAAUUUAGCUCAAGCGUUCCCUAAAACAGGACAUCAUGCGACAUGAAAUUUAAGCAGUUACUUACAAGUAAAGUUGAGAUUAGUAGAGGCCCAAAAAUUUCCACCAGGCAGUUCCAACCGUUCCCCAGAUGAUAGCAUUAACCAGGGCCAUUACAAAGCCCAUCUUGAAUACAUCAGGAAGGUCUACAUACCCAGCUCCAUAGUAUACAGCAGCCUGACCACUGCUGUAGUGUGUAAGAGCACCAAAAAGAUUUGUAUUGUAAGCUAAAGCCAGUGCUGCCAACACACCAGGCACCCCAGCUGCCAAGUGCAUGGCAAGAAAUGCAGAGUACAGAGCUCCCACAUGACCGGUUUGACUGGCAAAUAGAUAGUGAAUGAAGAAGUAAGAUGCCUGAAGAACACCAAAGGCAGCUGGCCAGCUCAAAGAGAGAGAUUGAAGGAUCUUGGCCACACAACCAGACAUCCAGGCUACGAUACCAAGGUUUGUCAGUUGGCCUGCCAUGCCAACCAGAACAGCAAACCAAGCCAAGGUAUCCCAAGCUGACUUCUCACUUAAGCAGUCGGCCCAAUCAAGCACUCCCAAUAAAAGUAAUAUUGAUAAGGCAAUCAUUGCAGCUACAACACUUGGUAUACCAAGAGUAUCUCUGCAUGAAACACAAGCAAAAAAUCUUAUUAACAAGCAAAAAAUCUUAUUAUAGUCUAAAUUAUCAGCAAAUAACCAUUAAAAGAAACAUAAUCUCUCUCGCUCUGUCUCUCCGAUUCCCUCAUUCUUGCUAGUUAAUUUAACAAGCAGUAGAAAAAUAUGAUUUGUAGGGCAUUACAAGCGUCAAGUCAAAACACUCACUUCAGAAAUCUAAUUUUUAUCUUAAUUUCCCUCAAGAAUGUGCUUUUAAUAUUUCAAUUAACACAUUCAUGUUGCUUUACAGUAUCUAGCUAUUCUGCAAGUAUGCAAACCUCUAUAAAGAUUGGUAUUGCACUGUGCUUGAUGCUGCAGAUGGAAAAGGUCAUUACACAAAACCAACUGUCCUCAAUUCCUUCUAGAACUCUCUCUUUAACUGUUAGUAGGUGGAGAUCAAAGUCAAAGACCACUUCCUAAAGAAGAGAGGCCAUGCAGCUAUGCAAAAUAGGCUGCCAUGAUGGUGGUUCCAUGAAGCAAAUGUCAUGUCUUGCAGCAGCAGGCACAGAAGAAUACAUUUAGUUGAGGCAUAGAAUUAGAACUAUCAAGAAGAAUAAAAAAUUUGAGAACCGUCUAUUCUGUAACCCAAAAAGCAGACAACUAUAAAAAAAAAGGUCACUGAUGCAGAAACAUAUGAAGUCCUAUUCAAUUUUGAAUUUUAUUCAGUUUUCUAUUCAGUUUUGUAUUUUGCUUAAUUUUCUAUUCAGUUAGGGAUUUUAUUUAGUUUUCUUUUCCUUCUUUAUUUAGAUUCUUGUCUUUUACGUCUUUAUUAAUUAGGAUUAGUUUUCAGUCUUUGAAUAAGAUUUAUCCCACCUAGCAUAAAUAAGGUUUCUAGAAGACAAAUCAGUUUUUUUUUUUUUAUUCAAAAUUUUAUGAAGAGGUUUUCUAUAAACCCUAAUUAUUUUUUCUUUGCUCCAACCACAAUAAAGCUAUUUUAGCCUUAUGACACCAAAUAGAGAAGUCUUCCACUUUCGUGCAUAACCACAUAUCUUCCAUAUCCCAUACAAUACCCAAUGCAUCAAUCUCCAUACUUGCAUUCUCUCCUUUCAUUCCCAUUUAACUUCUACCCAAAUUCCAUGUAUGUUUUCUAUACUCAUAUUGGCAAUAAUCCUUGCAGGAAAGGUUAAAAAUAGUAUAUUUUAACUGGAGUUUGAUCAAAAUCCGGGGUUAUGGAAGACACAACUGAAGAAAAGUGAGGAAAACAUGAGAAAUUGGAGAGUACAGGCUAUGAGAAACAUAGAAGUAUAGGACAUUCAGUUGAUGAUAUCAAGAUUCGAGACAGUUAACUUUAUUUCGGAACAAGAAGAAAAGGAUUAUGUGAGCACUGGAAAGGUCUAAUAUGUUCACUAUUAAGUACAUUAUCUAUCCCACAUGAAAAUUAAGUGUAUAGCAUCAAAAACUCAGUCAAAUAUCAAUUAGCCCUAACAUGUUAGCUAAAGUGUACUAUAUUACACAAAUUUUAACCCAGAACUUUUCACACAGGCAUCACGCCUACUGAUGAUACCUUGUAAAUCAUCAAGCAUUUAAAUAGUACAGGGCCCAAACAAACAUCAGAGAAGUUUAUUCUCUAAAACAAUGAGUAACAAGGACAUGGUUCACAGAAUUUCCAAGGUUAAAUUUUCUUAGCCGUUGAUUUAUGUUCAUGCAACACCCAGAAUUGUUAUGUAAUAAAUAGAGAUUAUAAUGAAGUGACUUCAGUGAUAUGAACUAUAAAAAUGACUUACCCCAACACCCACAUAGAAACUGCAAGAACCAUUGCGCCAACCAUGAUCCAUUCAUUUUUUGUGACAGGACCCAUAUUCUCCAGUUUCUUUGCAGCCAUUGCCGGGGCAUCUGGAGUGUCCUUGGUUUCAGGAGGAUAAAGGUUGUAUAAGAUAAAUGGUGUAGCUAGAAGAGAAACAAAAGCUGGCAAACUGGCAGCCUUGAACCAAGAAACCCAAGGGCUUGAAAUUAUAACCCCAAGUUCCUCUGCUAAUUUGAGACACAACAAAUUUUGAGCUGCAGCAGUCAGGAAAAGCCCACUAGAGUUCCCAGCAGACUGAAAUUGGGAUUGGAUGAGAUAAGAUCCGAGCUUACUUGAAGAAGCAUCCCCUGGUUUACUCCCUGCUGACAACGACAAGGACUUGAUAAUCGGCAAGAAAACUCCACCAGCCCUGGCAGUAGUACUAGGCAUUGCCGGCGCAAUAAGAGCCUCACUAAUUGUCAAACCAUACGACAAUCCCAAAGUACUCUUCCCCAACCACUUAACAAAAUAAGUUGCAACUCUAUCUCCUAGGCCAGUUUUAACAAACCCACGAGCAAAAAAGAAAGAAAUCACAAUCAACCAAAUAACCUCGUUAGUAAAGGCACUAAAAGCUGUCGAAAAAGUUAAAGUUCUCGUCACAAUGGAUGUCGUUAGACCAAGAAACGCCCAAGCACCAACUGGCAAUGGAUUCAAAACAAGACCCGCAAUGGUUGAAAGAAAGAUUGCGAGUAAUUGCCACGCUUGGGGGGUUACUUGGACGGGUUUAGGAAUACAAAAGCGAAGAAUCAGACCUAUAGACACAGAUACUACAAGGGGAACAAGCUUGGCACCUCGAGGAGGUAGGUUAGCGAUUGGCGGCAGCUUUGUUGGGGUUGAGGAGUCAUGUUGGUCAGAGGAGGCACGGAUUUGGAAAUGGGUUUUGAAUGGCUUGUGAAGAGGAGUGAAGAGAAAGCAUUUUGGGGAUAAAAGAGCUGAUGAGCGAAUGGUGGUGGGAAGAGACGGUGGAAAGACAAUGGAAGGUGGAAAUUUGGAGAUGGAUUUUGGUGAUCGGUGGAGUAAGGAAUUGCGGGUAGAGAGAGAGAAGGAGGUUGUGGUGGAGAUAGAAUGGAGUGCCAAGCUCUCCAUUGGCGUCAGUUUUCUCCAAACACUGAAAAUGAAUGGAAAUGAAAAUGAGAGAGAAAAG
rnacentral:misc_RNA from 1 species